UCGGGAUGCCCAGCGGGAGAUGCGGCGAGUGGAAAACUUUAUAACUGCAAACGAUAAUUACGUAGUAGCUGCUUAGAGCAGCUACGUCCUGCCCGGGUUCGCCUGUGAUUCGGGGCCAGGGCGUCAUUUAGCAGGCUAGCCAGAGGCCAAUUCUCGGAGGUCUUGCGGCGAAGUUCAUCGAGAUAGCUCCAGCGAAGCCCGUCUGUGGGCGGCGUAUCAGUCUUCGGACUGGAGGAGGCUUUCGGCCAACGCGCCGAGAGGCCAUAGUGGAGUGAGGUAUAGUACGCAGACUGCACUCGGAGAUGUUGCUGUGGUCAGUCUUUCGGACAGGGGUUCGACUCCCCUC
rnacentral:tmRNA from 1 species